AUCUUAGGGCGUGCAAAUAGACACCCCUUCUCCUUUUUUUUUUAGCUGUUGAUUUUACUGACGUUUUUUCGUACGUGUGGUCAGGACAAAGUAACUAUAAAGUACAUGCACUUUAGAUUGUCAUGGGAUAGGAGAGCAUGUUUAAUGAGGGUCUGCUAAAGGGUCUGAUUAAAAUUGGAAUAGAGAAAGGAAUCACUCUGUCCAUCCUCAUGGCCCCCACUCCCCUCAGCAUAAGUGUCCUUUGGAGUCACAGCUGGGGUUCUCUCCGUACAGCCCUCUGGAGAGGCGAGACGCAGAGGUGAUGGGGGCUGUGGGAAGUGCUACAGCCUGCUGCCCACCCACUUGGACUUGGCCAGGAGGCAGUCCCUGGCUGGCUGAAGCAGCUCCUCUGUGACCCAAACCGGACAGGAGAGUGAACCCAGCAACCUGUCUGAAAGCAGGCCACACUGCUGGGUGAAAGUCAGCACUUAGGGGACACAAGGCCUGUCUGCAGUCUUGGUGAUGGUCAAGUGUUA
rnacentral:lncRNA from 1 species